rnacentral:rRNA from 1 species
UACGUAGGGUGCAAGCGUUGUCCGGAAUCAUUGGGCGUAAAGAGCUCGUAGGCGGUCUGUCGCGUCUGCUGUGAAAGUCCAGGGCUCAACCCUGGAAUGCCGGUGGAAACUGUCGAGCUAGAGUCCGGAAGAGGCGAGUGGAAUUCCUGGUGUAGCGGUGAAAUGCGUAGAUAUCAGGAGGAAUACCGAUGGCGAAGGCAGGUCUCUGGGCUGACACUGACGCUCAUGCACGAAAGCGUGGGGAGCAAACAGG